GGCAGGUUCCCAAGAGCUGUGACCAAACAGCACACCCACCUGUGGGACUGCUGGCACAAAGUAGCCACCCGCUGCAGGCUGGAACUGAUUUAAGAUGGCAUUGGCAGGAAGUGCUCUCAUUCCAGCCACUCGUUGCAUAUACUGGUUGGUCAGUUAAUGGCCCAGAGAGCCUCCUGAAGUGGAGGAUAGGGAAGUAAAGAAGUGCAUCACUCCAUAACUCUCUACCAAUGAGAUGGGCCAGUAAGUGAUAUCUGUAGAUCAACCACUGCACACACAGACAUUAUAAAGAUAACCCAUCCUCUGGCAUACUGAAUGACACAAAGGACAAAAAUUAUUUUGGCUUGUAAUAGCCAAGACUUAUUGUCUCUUCUUCUCCCCAUAUGGCUUUGAUUUGUCCAGGUUCUUGAUGAAGACGUUUCCCACACCAGAUUUUCUCAAAGAGGGAUCCCUCUGAGACCACAUGAUGCGGAUUGGCUUUCCCUUAAUC
rnacentral:lncRNA from 1 species